UACAGAGGGUGCGAGCGUUGUUCGGAAUUAUUGGGCGUAAAGCGCUGGUAGGUGGCCUGACAAGUCGCGUGUGAAAUCUUCCGGCUCAACCGGAAAAGUGCGCGCGAAACUGUCGAGCUUGAGUGCCGGAGAGGGUCGCGGAAUUCCCGGUGUAGAGGUGAAAUUCGUAGAUAUCGGGAGGAACACCAGAGGCGAAGGCGGCGACCUGGAAGGUAACUGACACUGAGGCGCGAAAGCUAGGGGAGCAAACAGG
rnacentral:rRNA from 1 species